GCGGCGGACGGGUGAGUAAUACCUAGGAAUCUGCCUGGUAGUGGGGGACAACGUUUCGAAAGGAACGCUAAUACCGCAUACGUCCUACGGGAGAAAGCAGGGGACCUUCGGGCCUUGCGCUAUCAGAUGAGCCUAGGUCGGAUUAGCUAGUUGGUGAGGUAAUGGCUCACCAAGGCGACGAUCCGUAACUGGUCUGAGAGGAUGAUCAGUCACACUGGAACUGAGACACGGUCCAGACUCCUACGGGAGGCAGCAGUGGGGAAUAUUGGACAAUGGGCGAAAGCCUGAUCCAGCCAUGCCGCGUGUGUGAAGAAGGUCUUCGGAUUGUAAAGCACUUUAAGUUGGGAGGAAGGGUACUUACCUAAUACGUGAGUAUUUUGACGUUACCGACAGAAUAAGCACCGGCUAACUCUGUGCCAGCAGCCGCGGUAAUACAGAGGGUGCAAGCGUUAAUCGGAAUUACUGGGCGUAAAGCGCGCGUAGGUGGUUUGUUAAGUUGAAUGUGAAAUCCCCGGGCUCAACCUGGGAACUGCAUCCAAAACUGGCAAGCUAGAGUAGGGCAGAGGGUGGUGGAAUUUCCUGUGUAGCGGUGAAAUGCGUAGAUAUAGGAAGGAACACCAGUGGCGAAGGCGACCACCUGGGCUCAUACUGACACUGAGG
rnacentral:rRNA from 1 species